CUUGCUUGUUGGGGUUGUAGGACACUCUGUACGGAGUUACAAAGGACGACAUUAGACGAAUCAUCUGGAAAGAUGAAUCAAAGAAGGUAAUAAUCCUGUAGUCGAAAAUGUUGUCUCUCUUGAGUGGAUCCUGAGUACGACGGAGCACGUGAAAUUCCGUCGGAAUCUGGGAGGACCAUCUCCUAAGGCUAAAUACUCUCUAGUGACCGAUAGUGAACCAGUACCGUGAGGGAAAGGUGAAAAGCACCCCGGAAGGGGAGUGAAAUAGAACCUGAAACCGUGUGCUUACAAGUAGUCAGAGCCCGUUAAUGGGUGAUGGCGUGCCUUUUGUAGAAUGAACCGGCGAGUUACGAUUUGAUGCAAGGUUAAGCAGUAAAUGUGGAGCCGUAGCGAAAGCGAGUCUGAAUAGGGCGUUUAGUAUUUGGUCGUAGACCCGAAACCAGGUGAUCUACCCUUGGUCAGGUUGAAGUUCAGGUAACACUGAAUGGAGGACCGAACCGACUUACGUUGAAAAGUGAGCGGAUGAACUGAGGGUAGCGGAGAAAUUCCAAUCGAACCUGGAGAUAGCUGGUUCUCUCCGAAAUAGCUUUAGGGCUAGCCUCAAGUGAUGAUUAUUGGAGGUAGAGCACUGUUUGGACGAGGGGCCCCUCUCGGGUUACCGAAUUCAGACAAACUCCGAAUGCCAAUUAAUUUAACUUGGGAGUCAGAACAUGGGUGAUAAGGUCCGUGUUCGAAAGGGAAACAGCCCAGACCACCAGCUAAGGUCCCAAAAUAUAUGUUAAGUGGAAAAGGAUGUGGCGUUGCCCAGACAACUAGGAUGUUGGCUUAGAAGCAGCCAUCAUUUAAAGAGUGCGUAAUAGCUCACUAGUCGAGUGACACUGCGCCGAAAAUGUACCGGGGCUAAACAUAUUACCGAAGCUGUGGAUUGUCCUUUGGACAAUGGUAGGAGAGCGUUCUAAGGGCGUUGAAGCAUGAUCGUAAGGACAUGUGGAGCGCUUAGAAGUGAGAAUGCCGGUGUGAGUAGCGAAAGACGGGUGAGAAUCCCGUCCACCGAUUGACUAAGGUUUCCAGAGGAAGGCUCGUCCGCUCUGGGUUAGUCGGGUCCUAAGCUGAGGCCGACAGGCGUAGGCGAUGGAUAACAGGUUGAUAUUCCUGUACCACCUAUAAUCGUUUUAAUCGAUGGGGGGACGCAGUAGGAUAGGCGAAGCGUGCGAUUGGAUUGCACGUCUAAGCAGUAAGGCUGAGUAUUAGGCAAAUCCGGUACUCGUUAAGGCUGAGCUGUGAUGGGGAGAAGACAUUGAGUCUUCGAGUCGUUGAUUUCACACUGCCGAGAAAAGCCUCUAGAUAGAAAAUAGGUGCCCGUACCGCAAACCGACACAGGUAGUCAAGAUGAGAAUUCUAAGGUGAGCGAGCGAACUCUCGUUAAGGAACUCGGCAAAAUGACCCCGUAACUUCGGGAGAAGGGGUGCUCUUUAGGGUUAACGCCCAGAAGAGCCGCAGUGAAUAGGCCCAAGCGACUGUUUAUCAAAAACACAGGUCUCUGCUAAACCGUAAGGUGAUGUAUAGGGGCUGACGCCUGCCCGGUGCUGGAAGGUUAAGAGGAGUGGUUAGCUUCUGCGAAGCUACGAAUCGAAGCCCCAGUAAACGGCGGCCGUAACUAUAACGGUCCUAAGGUAGCGAAAUUCCUUGUCGGGUAAGUUCCGACCCGCACGAAAGGCGUAACGAUUUGGGCACUGUCUCAACGAGAGACUCGGUGAAAUCAUAGUACCUGUGAAGAUGCAGGUUACCCGCGACAGGACGGAAAGACCCCGUGGAGCUUUACUGUAGCCUGAUAUUGAAAUUCGGCACAGCUUGUACAGGAUAGGUAGGAGCCUUUGAAACGUGAGCGCUAGCUUACGUGGAGGCGCUGGUGGGAUACUACCCUAGCUGUGUUGGCUUUCUAACCCGCACCACUUAUCGUGGUGGGAGACAGUGUCAAGCGGGCAGUUUGACUGGGGCGGUCGCCUCCUAAAAGGUAACGGAGGCGCUCAAAGGUUCCCUCAGAAUGGUUGGAAAUCAUUCAUAGAGUGUAAAGGCAUAAGGGAGCUUGACUGCGAGACCUACAAGUCGAGCAGGGUCGAAAGACGGACUUAGUGAUCCGGUGGUUCCGCAUGGAAGGGCCAUCGCUCAACGGAUAAAAGCUACCCCGGGGAUAACAGGCUUAUCUCCCCCAAGAGUUCACAUCGACGGGGAGGUUUGGCACCUCGAUGUCGGCUCAUCGCAUCCUGGGGCUGUAGUCGGUCCCAAGGGUUGGGCUGUUCGCCCAUUAAAGCGGUACGCGAGCUGGGUUCAGAACGUCGUGAGACAGUUCGGUCCCUAUCCGUCGUGGGCGUAGGAAAUUUGAGAGGAGCUGUCCUUAGUACGAGAGGACCGGGAUGGACAUACCUCU
rnacentral:rRNA from 1 species